AUUGACCCAAAUGUUGGAGUUGUAUCCGAGAUUAUCAUUCCUUUUUAUUGCACAAACUACUAGGUUAAUCAAUACCUAUGGAUGAUUUGCUUUUCAAUGUGAUUUUCCCCAUAAAGCCAAUUACCAUAAUGUUUGGUGUUUUUACUAAAGCCAUGAACCGUGUUUGAGCGAGAUCAAAUGGUGGCGAUGUCUUGAGAGAUUACUCAACUUGGGUAUCAUUGCAGUAUCUGAUAUGUGAUUAAGCUGAAUUCGGUGCCCAUGUCAAGGCACAGGGUCGUGCAUCUAUUUGCGGGUUCAGGAAAUUUUUGGAUUUCAUGGUAUCCUAGCUGCAUCCAGCUGAUCGCCCUGUGGUGUGGUUGUGGAAGAGCUUGGGACACAUGGAAAAUUGGUAUAAAACCAGCAGCAUUCGGUGACCAGUGAGUUUUCCCCAAAAGAUGAUGUAGUUGUACUAUUAUUUCUUUUGUCAUGCCAUUACAUCUUCCGUGAAAGAAUAGUCAAGCAGGAGACAUGGGCAUAGUUCUGUCAGGCUAUUCGAUGGAUGAAUCCAAGUGCAGUUUCUCUUUCCUCUGCUUAUUUUUUCUUCUGGGAGCAGCGUGAGCGUCAGGAAGUUUGGCCAUCAGGGAGAGGGGAGAUGAAACCGUAAAAUUGAGCAUGAGUAUCUUGUGACAUUGCUCUGGUUUUGGCUAUAAUAAUUCGAAUCAACUGGCAAGUCAAUGAGGCCAACAUCUGUUGGUUCGGGUAAUCGGCAUCUCUCACCACGGGAGAGGUCCAGGUUUUAACCCUAGAAAUGCAUCUCUCACCACGGGAGAGGUCCAGGUUUUAACCCUAGAAAUGGCAUGUUACCAUUGUAUCGCAUAAAAAAAACAAAGGGGUGCAAGACCGUGCGCCAACAAUUUACCAUUUUUGAUGUUUGUACAACAAUUUUUCGUGAUUGGUGAUGCAUUUUGCAUUUUCACAACUCAUGUUCUGGUAGUUUCUCUUACUUCCAAAUGAAUCCACAAAGUAGGACAAAUUUAUCACACACGAAGAUCCUGCUUGGUUGAAGUAUAAUCAAAUUAACUGACUAGUGGACCCA
rnacentral:lncRNA from 1 species